rnacentral:rRNA from 1 species
CAGUCGCCGCGGUAAUACGGAGGGUGCAAGCGUUAAUCGGAAUUACUGGGCGUAAAGCGUGCGUAGGCGGUUUGUUAAGUCUGCUGUGAAAUCCCCGGGCUCAACCUGGGAAUGGCAGUGGAUACUGGCAAGCUAGAGUGUGUCAGAGGAUGGUGGAAUUCCCGGUGUAGCGGUGAAAUGCGUAGAGAUCGGGAGGAACAUCAGUGGCGAAGGCGGCCAUCUGGGACAACACUGACGCUGAGGCACGAAAGCGUGGGGAGCAAACAGGAUUAGAUACCUGGGUAGUCCCUGUCUCUUAUAC